GAUGAACGCUGGCGGCGUGCCUAAUACAUGCAAGUCGAGCGAACGGACGAGAAGCUUGCUUCUCGGAUGUUAGCGGCGGACGGGUGAGUAACACGUGGAUAACCUACCUGUAAGACUGGUAUAACUUCGGGAAACCGGAGCUAAUACCGGAUGAGAUUUUGAACCGCAUGGUUCAAAAGUGAAAUACGGUCGUGCUGUCACUUAUAGAUGGAUCCGCGCUGCAUUAGCUAGUUGGUAAGGUAACGGCUUACCAAGGCAACGAUGCAUAGCCGACCUCAGAGGGUGAUCGGCCACACGGGAACUGAGACACGGUCAAGACUCCUACGGGAGGCAGCAGUAGGGAAUCGUACGCAAUGGGCGAAAGCCUGACGGAGCAACGCCGAGUGAGUGAUGAAGGUCUUCGGAUCGUAAAACUCUGUUAUUAGGGAAGAACAUAUGUGUAAGUAACUGUGCACAUAUUGACGGUACCUAAUCAGAAAGCCACGGCUAACUACGUG
rnacentral:rRNA from 1 species